CGGGGUGAGUAAUGUCUGGGAAACUGCCUGAUGGAGGGGGAUAACUACUGGAAACGGUAGCUAAUACCGCAUAACGUCGCAAGACCAAAGUGGGGGACCUUCGGGCCUCAUGCCAUCAGAUGUGCCCAGAUGGGAUUAGCUAGUAGGUGGGGUAACGGCUCACCUAGGCGACGAUCCCUAGCUGGUCUGAGAGGAUGACCAGCCACACUGGAACUGAGACACGGUCCAG
rnacentral:rRNA from 1 species